rnacentral:rRNA from 1 species
UACGUAGGGUGCGAGCGUUGUCCGGAAUUAUUGGGCGUAAAGAGCUCGUAGGCGGUGUGUCGCGUCGGCCGUGAAAACCCGAGGCUCAACUUCGGGCUUGCAGUCGAUACGGGCAGGCUAGAGUUCGGUAGGGGAGACUGGAAUUCCUGGUGUAGCGGUGAAAUGCGCAGAUAUCAGGAGGAACACCGAUGGCGAAGGCAGGUCUCUGGGCCGUAACUGACGCUGAGGAGCGAAAGCGUGGGGAGCAAACAGG